rnacentral:rRNA from 1 species
CUCGUAGGCGGUCUGUCGCGUCGAAUGUGAAAAUCCGAGGCUCAACCUCGGACCUGCAUUCGAUACGGGCAGACUAGAGUUCGGUAGGGGAGUCUGGAAUUCCUGGUGUAGCGGUGAAAUGCGCAGAUAUCAGGAGGAACACCGGUGGCGAAGGCGGGACUCUGGGCCGAUACUGACGCUGAGGAGCGAAAGCGUGGGAGCAAACA